AUUGAACGCUGGCGGCAGGCCUAACACAUGCAAGUCGAGCGGAUGAAGGGAGCUUGCUCCUGGAUUCAGCGGCGGACGGGUGAGUAAUGCCUAGGAAUCUGCCUGGUAGUGGGGGAUAACGUCCGGAAACGGGCGCUAAUACCGCAUACGUCCUGAGGGAGAAAGUGGGGGAUCUUCGGACCUCACGCUAUCAGAUGAGCCUACGUCGGAUUAGCUAGUUGGUGGGGUAAAGGCCUACCAAGGCGACGAUCCGUAACUGGUCUGAGAGGAUGAUCAGUCACACGGGAACUGAGAAGAGGUACAGACUACUACGGGAAGCAGCAGUGGGGAAUGUUGGACAAGGGGCGAAAGCCUGAACCAGGCAUGUCGCGGGUGUGAAGAAGGUCUACGGAUUGUAAAGCUCUUUAAGUUGGGAGGAAGGACAGUAAGUUAAUACCUUGCUGUUUGGACGUUACCAACAGAAUAAGCACCGGCUAACUUCGUG
rnacentral:rRNA from 1 species